GGGGAAUUUUCCGCAAUGGGCGAAAGCCUGACGGAGCAAUACCGCGUGAGGGAGGAAGGCUCUUGGGUUGUAAACCUCUUUUCUCAGGGAAGAACAAAAUGACGGUACCUGAGGAAUCAGCAUCGGCUAACUCCGUGCCAGCAGCCGCGGUAAUACGGAGGAUGCAAGCGUUAUCCGGAAUGAUUGGGCGUAAAGCGUUCGCAGGUGGUGCAGUAAGUCUGCUGUUAAAAGUCGGGGCUCAACCCCGAACCGGCGGUGGAAACUACAGCGCUAGAGUGCGGUAGGGGCAGAGGGAAUUCCUGGUGUAGCGGUGAAAUGCGUAGAGCUCAGGAAGAACACCGGUGGCGAAAGCGCUCUGCUGGACCUGCACUGACACUGAGGGACGAAAGCUAGGGGAGCGAAUGGGAUUAGAUACCCCUG
rnacentral:rRNA from 1 species